GGGUUGUGAGGUUAAGCGACUAAGCGUACACGGUGGAUGCCCUGGCAGUCAGAGGCGAUGAAGGACGUGCUAAUCUGCGAUAAGCGUCGGUAAGGUGAUAUGAACCGUUAUAACCGGCGAUUUCCGAAUGGGGAAACCCAGUGUGAUUCGUCACACUAUCAUUAACUGAAUCCAUAGGUUAAUGAGGCGAACCGGGGGAACUGAAACAUCUAAGUACCCCGAGGAAAAGAAAUCAACCGAGAUUCCCCCAGUAGCGGCGAGCGAACGGGGAGCAGCCCAGAGCCUGAAUCAGUGUGUGUGUUAGUGGAAGCGUCUGGAAAGGCGCGCGAUACAGGGUGACAGCCCCGUACACAAAAAUGCACAUGCUGUGAGCUCGAUGAGUAGGGCGGGACACGUGGUAUCCUGUCUGAAUAUGGGGGGACCAUCCUCCAAGGCUAAAUACUCCUGACUGACCGAUAGUGAACCAGUACCGUGAGGGAAAGGCGAAAAGAACCCCGGCGAGGGGAGUGAAAAAGAACCUGAAACCGUGUACGUACAAGCAGUGGGAGCACAGAGCAAUCUGUGUGACUGCGUACCUUUUGUAUAAUGGGUCAGCGACUUAUAUUCUGUAGCAAGGUUAACCGAAUAGGGGAGCCGAAGGGAAACCGAGUCUUAACUGGGCGUUAAGUUGCAGGGUAUAGACCCGAAACCCGGUGAUCUAGCCAUGGGCAGGUUGAAGGUUGGGUAACACUAACUGGAGGACCGAACCGACUAAUGUUGAAAAAUUAGCGGAUGACUUGUGGCUGGGGGUGAAAGGCCAAUCAAACCGGGAGAUAGCUGGUUCUCCCCGAAAGCUAUUUAGGUAGCGCCUCGUGAAUUCAUCUCCGGGGGUAGAGCACUGUUUCGGCAAGGGGGUCAUCCCGACUUACCAACCCGAUGCAAACUGCGAAUACCGGAGAAUGUUAUCACGGGAGACACACGGCGGGUGCUAACGUCCGUCGUGAAGAGGGAAACAACCCAGACCGCCAGCUAAGGUCCCAAAGUCAUGGUUAAGUGGGAAACGAUGUGGGAAGGCCCAGACAGCCAGGAUGUUGGCUUAGAAGCAGCCAUCAUUUAAAGAAAGCGUAAUAGCUCACUGGUCGAGUCGGCCUGCGCGGAAGAUGUAACGGGGCUAAACCAUGCACCGAAGCUGCGGCAGCGACGCUGAUGCGUUGUUGGGUAGGGGAGCGUUCUGUAAGCCUGCGAAGGUGUGCUGUGAGGCAUGCUGGAGGUAUCAGAAGUGCGAAUGCUGACAUAAGUAACGAUAAAGCGGGUGAAAAGCCCGCUCGCCGGAAGACCAAGGGUUCCUGUCCAACGUUAAUCGGGGCAGGGUGAGUCGACCCCUAAGGCGAGGCCGAAAGGCGUAGUCGAUGGGAAACAGGUUAAUAUUCCUGUACUUGGUGUUACUGCGAAGGGGGGACGGAGAAGGCUAUGUUGGCCGGGCGACGGUUGUCCCGGUUUAAGCGUGUAGGCUGGUUUUCCAGGCAAAUCCGGAAAAUCAAGGCUGAGGCGUGAUGACGAGGCACUACGGUGCUGAAGCAACAAAUGCCCUGCUUCCAGGAAAAGCCUCUAAGCAUCAGGUAACAUCAAAUCGUACCCCAAACCGACACAGGUGGUCAGGUAGAGAAUACCAAGGCGCUUGAGAGAACUCGGGUGAAGGAACUAGGCAAAAUGGUGCCGUAACUUCGGGAGAAGGCACGCUGAUAUGUAGGUGAAGUCCCUCGCGGAUGGAGCUGAAAUCAGUCGAAGAUACCAGCUGGCUGCAACUGUUUAUUAAAAACACAGCACUGUGCAAACACGAAAGUGGACGUAUACGGUGUGACGCCUGCCCGGUGCCGGAAGGUUAAUUGAUGGGGUCAGCGCAAGCGAAGCUCUUGAUCGAAGCCCCGGUAAACGGCGGCCGUAACUAUAACGGUCCUAAGGUAGCGAAAUUCCUUGUCGGGUAAGUUCCGACCUGCACGAAUGGCGUAAUGAUGGCCAGGCUGUCUCCACCCGAGACUCAGUGAAAUUGAACUCGCUGUGAAGAUGCAGUGUACCCGCGGCAAGACGGAAAGACCCCGUGAACCUUUACUAUAGCUUGACACUGAACAUUGAGCCUUGAUGUGUAGGAUAGGUGGGAGGCUUUGAAGUGUGGACGCCAGUCUGCAUGGAGCCGACCUUGAAAUACCACCCUUUAAUGUUUGAUGUUCUAACGUUGACCCGUAAUCCGGGUUGCGGACAGUGUCUGGUGGGUAGUUUGACUGGGGCGGUCUCCUCCUAAAGAGUAACGGAGGAGCACGAAGGUUGGCUAAUCCUGGUCGGACAUCAGGAGGUUAGUGCAAUGGCAUAAGCCAGCUUGACUGCGAGCGUGACGGCGCGAGCAGGUGCGAAAGCAGGUCAUAGUGAUCCGGUGGUUCUGAAUGGAAGGGCCAUCGCUCAACGGAUAAAAGGUACUCCGGGGAUAACAGGCUGAUACCGCCCAAGAGUUCAUAUCGACGGCGGUGUUUGGCACCUCGAUGUCGGCUCAUCACAUCCUGGGGCUGAAGUAGGUCCCAAGGGUAUGGCUGUUCGCCAUUUAAAGUGGUACGCGAGCUGGGUUUAGAACGUCGUGAGACAGUUCGGUCCCUAUCUGCCGUGGGCGCUGGAGAACUGAGGGGGGCUGCUCCUAGUACGAGAGGACCGGAGUGGACGCAUCACUGGUGUUCGGGUUGUCAUGCCAAUGGCACUGCCCGGUAGCUAAAUGCGGAAGAGAUAAGUGCUGAAAGCAUCUAAGCACGAAACUUGCCCCGAGAUGAGUUCUCCCUGACUCCUUGAGAGUCCUGAAGGAACGUUGAAGACGACGACGUUGAUAGGCCGGGUGUGUAAGCGCAGCGAUGCGUUGAGCUAACCGGUACUAAUGAACCGUGAGGCUUAACCUUACAACGCCGAAGGUGUUU
rnacentral:rRNA from 1 species